rnacentral:rRNA from 1 species
AGUGAACGCUGGCGAUAGGCCUAACACAUGCAAGUCGAACGGCAGCACAGUAAGAGCUUGCUCUUACGGGUGGCGAGUGGCGGGCGGGUGAGGAAUACAUCGGAAUCUACUUUUUCGUGGGGGAUAACGUAGGGAAACUUACGCUAAUAUCGCAUACGACCUACGGGUGAAAGCAGGGGAUCUUCGGACCUUGCGCGAUUGAAUGAGCCGAUGUCGGAUUAGCUAGUUGGCGGGGUAAAGGCCCACCAAGGCGACGAUCCGUAGCUGGUCUGAGAGGAUGAUCAGCCACACUGGAACUGAGACACGGUCCAGACUCCUACGGGAGGCAGCAGUGGGGAAUAUUGGACAAUGGGCGCAAGCCUGAUCCAGCCAUACCGCGUGGGUGAAGAAGGCCUUCGGGUUGUAAAGCCCUUUUGUUGGGAAAGAAAAGCAGCAGGUUAAUACCCCGCUGUUCUGACGGUACCCAAAGAAUAAGCACCGGCUAACUUCGUG